rnacentral:rRNA from 1 species
UACGAAGGGGGCUAGCGUUGCUCGGAAUUACUGGGCGUAAAGGGUGCGUAGGCGGGUCUUUAAGUCAGGGGUGAAAUCCCGGAGCUCAACUCCAGAACUGCCUUUGAUACUGAAGAUCUUGAGUCCGGGAGAGGUGAGUGGAACUGCGAGUGUAGAGGUGAAAUUCGUAGAUAUUCGCAAGAACACCAGUGGCGAAGGCGGCUCACUGGCCCGGUACUGACGCUGAGGCACGAAAGCGUGGGGAGCAAACAGG